AAUUCCCAGCUGCUUUGCGACCCCUGACUCCCGUAUAGGCUCGCUAGAGAAAGGAGGAGAGUGUCUCUGGGACAGGACUUAGACCAGGAAUCGCCAGGGGAUUUAUUGAACAAUGUAGUUUAGGGCAUUGUGAACACUGAGAUAGGAGAGGAGGCCUGGAUCUUGCCACAAGUUCUGGACGUUCGCUACACCUGUAUUCGUUUUCAGAGGGCGUCCAGCUUUCUAGAAGCGUUCCUUUUUUGUCCAAGUAAAACUGGAGGAUUGCCGCUCUGGGCCCUCGUCAGAGAUGCUUCACUUUGCAGCAGGAAGCGGGAAAUUCAGAGGCUCUCAAGUCCGAAUGCAGAGGAAGAACUGGCUACGAGUGCUUGCUCUAAGAGGGGCAAGAGCUGUGAAAGGUUGUCUAAUGGAUGUCUGGUGGCCAUCAUCCUUGUGACCUCACAGCAGCUGGACAAGAUCAACCCAGCUAGAUCAGCCAGUGUCCCAGCAGGCAGCAGUUCCUGGACUCCAUGUGUUACAGAAAAGGGACAUGAAGGUGGGAGGAGGCUGUGCCAGGAGUGUUGGGAGGAAGAGCAAUAAUUCUGAGUAAACACUUGGUAUAAAUGUGUGAAAUUGUUAAAGAAUAAAAGAUAAAAAUAGC